rnacentral:rRNA from 1 species
CGUAGGGUGCGAGCGUUGUCCGGAAUUAUUGGGCGUAAAGAGCUCGUAGGCGGCUUGUCACGUCGGAUGUGAAAGCUCGGGGCUUAACCCCCGAGUCUGCAUUCGAUACGGGCUAGCUAGAGUGUGGUAGGGGAGAUCGGAAUUCCUGGUGUAGCGGUGAAAUGCGCAGAUAUCAGGAGGAACACCGGUGGCGAAGGCGGAUCUCUGGGCCAUUACUGACGCUGAGGAGCGAAAGCGUGGGGAGCGAACAGGAUUAGAUACCCUGGUAGUCCACGCCGUAAACGUUGGGAACUAGGUGUUGGCGACAUUCCACGUCGUCGGUGCCGCAGCUAACGCAUUAAGUUCCCCGCCUGGGGAGUACGGCCGCAAGGCUAA